rnacentral:lncRNA from 1 species
GGUUUAUGCUAUUCGUAGUAAACUCUUAAUAGCGAAUGAUAUGUCUUGGGUAGUGUGUAAACCCUUCUAUAUGCUUAAUUGUAUGCUUGCAUGAAUGUGAUUAUAUAAAUGUGAUGAAUAAUCAUGAUGAGGCUAUUGAAUCUCUAAUCCUAAAUUUACCUUGUUAAUGAUGAUGCCUUGGUAUAAGAAAAGACUUGAUGAACUAAAGUAAUGAGAUUGAUGAUGUCUUGGUAUAAGAGAAGGCUUGAUGAAUUAAUAGAAUGAGAUUAGUGGAGUGGGCGUCACGAACCGACACGUAGUAUUAGGGGAUCGGGUGUCACGAACUGACACGUAGUAUUAGGGGAUCGGAUGUCACGAACUGAUACGUAGAAUUAGGGGAUCUGGUGUCACGAACCGACAUGUAGAAUUAGGGGAUCGGGUGUCACGAACCGACACGUAGAAUUAGGGGAUCGGGUGUCACGAAUCGACACGUAGAAUUAGGGGAUCGGGUGUCACGAACCGAUACGUAGAAUUAGGGGAUCGAGUGUCACGAACCGACACGUGGAAUUAGGGGAUCGGAGUGUCACGUACCGACACAAGAGAAAUAAAGAUAAUGAAUUUUGAAAGAUGUUAAUAUACUCAAUUUAAUGAACCUAUUUCCCAAAUGAGUAUGAUGGGGAGGCGUGAGUCCUCAUUGAUGAGCUUGGUGUUGUGACCAAGGGUUAUGGUAAUUGUAAAUGCCGCAUGUUGAGUAUUGUAGUUGAUUUUAUGAUAUUAUCUGAUAUAUACUGUUUUCUAUUUUGAGUUGGCCG